GAGGAGCCAGGCCGGCCCCGCCCAGGGGGGCGGGCUCACGCCGCCUCCGCAGCGCCGGGGGUCCAGGGCCCGGGCCGGGCCAGCCGCGCACCGACAGGCGGAGCCGCCCGGCCGGAGCGCGAGACGCUGCGGCCGCGGGGUAUUUUAUUGUAAAGCCACUGUGGAAUCCUCAUCUUUCAGACUUUCUGUGGUGGAGUCAGUUGAGCCAAAACUGUAUCAGACUUAUCUGUUCUGGGGCUUGUCGUCUCUGUCUGACGGAUACAUUUUGGAUUAAGACAAUAAUAAGCUUGUAACAAGUGGUGCAAUGUCAGCUGUGGAACAGCAGCAGGCAGAACCUUCUCCAUCAUCCAAUUCAUCCAAUUCCUUUGAGGUAGUGGAGGCAGAUACUGCAAAUAAGUAUGAGGCAGUUGUUCCUCACUGGUUUUACUGCAAGGUAGUAGAUUCUAGAGAGAGGUGGUUCCCUUUCAGCCGACAAGACUCGGAGAAGUUAGAAGAGGCCCACAACUCAAGGAAAGACGAUGAACAGCUGGUAGUUCCAACGGAAGGGGGCAGGUAUGACGUGCAUUUGAAGAAGAGGUUGUGCUGUGCCAUGUAUUGGGAGGAAGAGGUGUCUGAAGUGAGACGCUGCACCUGGUUUUAUAAGGGAGACAAGGACAACAAGUACAUUCCCUACUCGGAGAGCUUCAGUGAAGAGUUGGAGGAAACGUACAUGAUUGCCAUAACGCUGGACGAGUGGAAAAAGAAACUUGAGUCCCCUACUAGAGAAAUAAUUAUACUGCAUAACCCAAAGCUGAUGGUGCACUACCAUCCAGUGACAACCUCUGAUGACUGGGGCUCAACCCCUACGGAACAAGGUCGACCAAGAACCGUUAAGAGAGGAGUGGAGAACAUCUCAGUUGACAUCCCCUGUGGGGAGCCUCUGCAAAUAGAUCACUUGGUUUUUGUAGUUCAUGGAAUUGGGCCAGCAUGUGAUAUCCGGUUCCGGUCCAUCGUCCAGUGCGUAAACGACUUCCGUAACGUUUCCUUGAGCAUGCUGCAAGCACACUUCAAGAAAGCCCAGGAGCAGCAACAAAUUGGCCGGGUAGAGUUCUUGCCUGUGAACUGGCACAGCCCUUUGCAUUCCACGGGGGUGGACGUCGAUUUGGAGCGAAUUACCUUGCCGAGCAUCAACCGCCUGCGUCACUUCAUAAACGACACCAUACUGGAUGUUUUCUUCUACAACAGCCCCACCUACUGCCAGACCAUCGUAGACACUGUUGCUUCAGAAAUGAACCGCUUGUAUCGGCUCUUCCUGCAGAGGAACCCUGACUUUAAAGGCGGUGUUUCCAUUGCAGGCCAUAGCUUAGGGUCGCUGAUAUUGUUUGAUCUCCUAACAAAUCAGAAGGAUUCCUCUGAGGAUGAAGACGGCAAUAAAGAGGGGUCCCAGAUGGGUGCCUAUGAACAGGGAGAUGUUGGGGGCGUGAAAGAAAUCCUGAAGAAGCUUGAGCUGUCUGAGUACUGCAGUGUCUUUGAGAAGGAGAGACUGGACACGCAAGCACUGGCUCUGUGUACAGAGAAGGAUCUUAAAGACAUGGGAAUUCCCUUGGGACCAAGAAUGAAGAUCCUUCAUUAUGUCAGAACCAAAGAGGAGAAACAGCAUGCUCAGCAGCAGGCCCAUGUCCCUGCUGGGAAUGACGACGAGAGUGAAGAUGCUCCCAAGCCUGAGUCAGGGUCAUCCCCGCAGCUGGACUCUAGGAGGAGCAUGAACGAUGGGGGGAAGUGUCAAUAUUUGGAUGUCGGGCUAGGACAGGUCUCAGCAAAUUACCCUCAGCUAAUCUACAAACCCGAAAUCUUCUUUGCUUUUGGGUCUCCCAUUGGGAUGUUUCUCACUGUCCGAGGUGUGAAAAGGAUUGAUCCAAACUACAGCCUUCCUACCUGCAAAGGCUUCUUCAAUAUCUUCCAUCCUUUUGACCCGGUGGCAUACAGGAUUGAGCCCAUGAUCGUUCCAGACCUGGAGUUCGAGCCCAUGCUGCUCCCCCACCACAAGGGCAGGAAGAGAAUGCAUUUAGAACUGAAAGAGGGCCUGACCCGCAUGGGUAUGGAUCUCAAGAACAACCUCCUGGGGUCACUGAGGAUAGCCUGGCAGUCUUUCACCAGAUCCCCACUGCUGGCCGUGGAGGCAGCAGCCACUGAAAACGAAGCUGAAACUAGUUUGGAGAAACAGACAGUCCAUUCAGAUAUGAAGCCCGAAGAGCCUGCUGCUACCCUGAAGGAAGACGCCGCCCCUAUUAAUGUGGGAAUGCUAAAUGGAGGGCACCGGAUUGACUACGUGCUGCAAGAGAAGCCUAUAGAGAGUUUUAAUGAAUAUUUAUUUGCACUACAAGGCCAUCUCUGCUACUGGGAGUCAGAAGAUACCGUUCUCUUGAUUCUGAAAGAGAUCUACCAAACGCAGGGCGUUACGUUAGAUCAGCCUCUACAAUGAGGUCAGAUGACCAGCUGCACUUGAUAUACACACCAAGUGACUACUCGCCUGGAAAGCCCGGAUUUUCCUCUGCCUUCCUAUCCUCUGCUGCUACUGUAUUCUGCAUGCUGCUUCCCACGAGCCUGCUGCUGCCUGAUGCACUGGGAAAUUUCUCAUUUUGUGGGGAAAAAAUCAAGGCAAAACACUCUUCUCCUAAAAUACUCACUCUGGACUUGCCCCUGUGCCCACUGUGACACCCACGGGAUCGUUCACUCCAACACCAUUCAUCCGCCUAAUCUGACUGCCUCGGUUAGAUUUCAGACAGCUGUGGAGCCAAAGGUCAUUUGCUACUGACUGUCAUCUCAUGAUUAGUGUACACUGAAGCGGUGGAAGGAGGAAGCAAUGGACAGAAAACUGACCUACUUCACAUAAAACGAGCCAGCUAAACAAAGACGGACGAUGUUCUCUAGUGCCAAGAAGGAACAGAACUCAUUUCACUGAAUUAAAACCACCUUUUUAUUUGACAUUAAAAAACCCAGUAAGGCUGAGCUCGUGAGUUCUCUGAACUCUUUUAGGUUUGAUUAACAGGAUGUACUUUUACAGGCCUUAGCUUGGCACAGUCAACAGUUCCAGUACUUACUGUUUUUCUCACCACAGGUGUACAGUACGUUUGAAAUUAACACAAGAAUGCAAAUCAUACAGUUGGUCCACAGGGAAACAUCCUACAAGGGAAGAUGCUGCAUCCUUUCACCUUUAAGGGUUGCGGAUGGAGCAACACAUCCUCCCUACAACGCAGUGAGCCCCUGGACAGUGCUGUACAGAGACACCAUCUCACUGCCCUGCUGCUUCUAGGUUGGAAUCAAAUAUAAAACCCCACAGCAUCUCUUUCCCCCCAGAUUAGUCGUAAUUCUUAGCAGUGGGACCACGAGUGACUGCCCCUUAUGGUAUUAGGCAGUCAUGCCCAUCAGAUGGCUCUACAGUGCUGACCUUGGCCUUUGCUUGGGAGGACGUGAUGAGGUCCAGCUAUCCUCUGUGACUUGGGGCAGGAUUCUGGAAGCAAAUGUAUUUACAAAUGGGCUGGAGAGCUCUGUGCAGAGUCCAACAAUAUGGCAUGGAGAAAUUCCAAAGCCAGCCAGGGUGCCACGCCAGGAAAUCAGCCCAGCAUCUGCUUGGUUGGACCCGCUGUAGGACACAGCUUCUUUAACAAAACCAUACCUAGUGUGCCCAGGCUGCGGGGGGGGGGCCAAGCAGGUGCUAGUUCUAAAUGCACACAGUAAAUGCUGUGUACCCACAACACAGCACUGACGGCCUCUUCUGAUGUGCAUGCUGUCCUUUCAUAAAAUGACCUCCUCCAGCGGAGAGGGCUGACUUCUCCAUUCAUUACUACAUGGCCCUGUGCAACUUCAGGAUUUCCACCAAGCCUCCUCUCACAGACAGCCAGUUCUUGCUUUAGAUGUUGUCGUAGCCAGACUGCUCCCCUCCCUCCUGCAAGCUGGAGUACAGUCACUUACACAGCUUCCUCCAGGGCGGGCCUGAAAGAGGGGAGUGUCUCUCAAACAAGAACAACAUGAGCACAGGCCUGCUGAGCAGGACCACUUACCGCAUUUGCAGGGGAGCAAUUCUUAUUCAGCUAUCAGCUGUGUCCUCCUUUGGGGUAGGCAGUGAGUGAUGCUCCCAAAGCCUGUACCCCUUCCCCACCCUGUGGGCUGAAGAGUGGAAGGCAUGAUUACCCAGGGGCCGGUGCCAGCAAAGUGGAUCCCAGCGUUAUAUUUCCAGGCGGAAGCUGGAGCUGGCCAGCUUUUGCUCCUGUGCCGGAGACAGCUGGGCUUUACACUGCAACGGUUUGUGGCACUCCGAGUCCGUCAGGGAAGGGUAAUGCUGCCUGUAGCACAGGUAUGCAAAUGUGAAGCCAAUCGCUGAGCCAGCCAGCACAUCUGUGGGGGGGAAACGAGGGUGAUUCACACACAACACCGUCUCACUGAACCCCCAGGAGCUGUGCUCCAACACCAUGACACCAGGCAACGUGGGGCCGUGGCAACCCACCGCUGUUCAGAGCUCCAAGGGGGACCAUGCAGUGACUGGGACAGCAAAGGUCUCUUCCAGGCAGCGAUCCCCAAAUACGCUUCCCCGUUCAUAAGUACCCGUCCCAUGGCACAGCUACAGGCCUGACACACAGUGGAACUGAAAGCCCCAGUGAGGACGAUGCCUGCCCUGCUCACGGUGCUCCAGUUAGAGCUGCCACUUAAGCUUCAGCUCUAGCACUGAGCAGAACACACAUUUCCCAGAGAGAUCACGACCCCGGAAAGGACUUUUUCCUUCACCAACAUUCCCUCAUCCCACUUAGAGCCCUGACCAUCAGUGCCCCAUGCUAUCUAUCCAGGGUCUUCUGGGGUGCCCAUCACCACGGUCACUGAACACUGUUCCCACAGGACAACACACCGCCCCUGCUAUCCUCUCCCCGGGCCGGCAUGCUCACCUUGCCAGUGGUGCUUGUAAUCACAGGUGCGGGACAGAGCGAUGAGGAGCGCGCAGAGCAGUGGUGAUAAGAAAGCACAGAGCCGCCAGGAUUUUCCACGCCCGCCAGGGGCAAAGCAGUGCAGUUUUCCUGCCAGGUACAAGGCAGAGAAGGCAAGACCAGCAAAGGCAACUGGACAAAAGGGGGAAAUUCACAUCACUGAGGAACCCAUGCUCAGAGAGCCCAGCUCAGGGGCCAUCCAUUACCAGGAGUGAUUUAAGAGUAUAAAGGACCCCUCUGAGCUUGUCCUGAAAGGACACUAGGCAAAAAGCAGGGCCAUGGAGCCUGGGCUGGGGAGGUAGUACUGAUACCUGGCACUCGAGAGCGAGUGAGUCUGCAAACAGCAGUGAGCCUUGUGCACCACCGUUUUACAGAGGGAAAAGUGAGGCCUGGCAAGAAGUCAAUGAACAUGCCCCAGGCCAUGUGGCAAGGCAGGGGCAAAGUUGAUCCUGCCUCCCAGGCACCUGCUCACCCUUGUUUGGUUCUCCCAUGCUGCACUACAAAGAGGAAACAAACGCUUACAAGAGGAAUGCCCACUCGGGAAGCUCUUGCGUCCCUCAGUCACCACGUCCACAUCACCGGUGCACACCAGCUUGGAGUUUGCCCGUCCAUCCGGAAAGCAGCGGUAGAAGAAAUCCGGCCGUGGCCUAAUGGGCAGAGAAGCAAAGCACAGCAUGUGACCCUGCACCAUGCAGAGGAGGAGACCCUUAGCAGCUGGCAUGGUUUGACUGGAUGCUCCCCUGCUCCGGCUAAAGCACCAGAGGACAUCCUUGCCCGCCUGCUCUGGAAUCCCCCCAGCAGAGCCCUCGAGGAGCCUUCAGAACACCCACGCUGUCCACACAGUACCCAAACCCACGGGUCCAUUCCAGGAACCACACAGGGUUCUGAAAAGCGUCCUGGGGAAGGAAGGGCCAUGGGGUAGAGAACGGGGUAUGGAGUCCUUCACCUCCAAGUGGCUGGCAGCUCUGGAAGUGAGAGAGCCUGACUAGAACAGAGAGUCGUUGCCCCCCAAAAGCUGCUCAGCAGCCUGGGUUGGGGUGGGGGGGUCCCAGUCCCAGGCACUGUGGCUGACCAGUAGCCACACCUCAACUGGCAGAGGAGCGAAUGUGCUACAAUGACUCAAUGCCCCUCAGAGCCUGGUAGAGACCCUCCAAGAACAGCCUAGUGCAGUGGUGAGAGCAUGCAGGGAAAGCUCACCUUGCCACUGCUGCUCUGUGGGGAGACACAAAGGGUCAUUCCCCAGGGCCAUCGGGCCUGUCCCAACACUAAAUUCACUGAGGGUGGGUGUUUAAAACAGCCCCUGCUCUGUGGUUAAGAGAGUGCCCCCAGCCUGUCCCCGCACUUCCCCCCAAAAGGGUCUGGGAAAAUUCAGCCAGUCAGGCAGUGCACUGCUGACUGCCUGGGUCUGUGGGCGCUGGCGAUUAAUGGACCUUCUUACCUCCCCACGACUAGCUUCACAGCAUUUGUGAAGACCCCGUUCAGGGCAAGAGCAAGGCUGGCAGCUGGAAGAGAGUGAAGAGCCGGCUCAGCACCAAACGCAUGUUAAUAUUUAACCAGCCCACACCCGCAGCAGGGGCAGGAGAAACUUUGCAGGUGGAGUUGGUGGAGUUCCCCUAAUCAGUAGCCUCUAUCAGAGGGAUGCUUCAGCUGGUCCUGGUGCUGCAUUGGUCUGCGAGUCUGAGUUGACUUGAGAGGCGGCACACGGGCAGUGGGGAAGACCGUGCCUUGCCCCGCAACACUGAGCAUUCCCUGCAGGUGUUUGCCUUAGGGAAGGGCUGAACUCUGGGUCAGACAAGAGUGGACGAUGGUCUGGGAAGGGCUAAGCACACAUGUUCCAGCCCACAGAGUUUUUUUGUUUUUUGUUUUUUUUAAGAAAAAUGGGUGAAAUCCUGGUUCCAUAGAAGCCACUGUUUUGCCACUGACUUCAGUGGAGCCAGGUGUUGCCCAGUAAGUGAAAGGCACAUAGUGGGAGACAGUCCAGCAAACAGACCCCAAGCAGGAGGAAGUUCCCAAUUCCCUAAUGCACCCUGGCCAACAUGCUGUGUGAGACCAGCAAUGGAUUCAAGAGACCCCUCCUCCCCUCAGGCCCAUUCUCCAUCACACAGAGGUUCCUGAGCCGUAACAAGGAGAUGCCCCCACCCUAGGCUGUGACAUUAGCCACAGCUCUAAACCACUGCAUGAGUACAAUGAUGCUCUCUGUGUCCCACGUGCUGGGGACUGAUCCACCCUGAUUUACCCACUGGGUGUUACUGCUGCCAGGAGGAAGAGCUUGUUUGCCCCAGGGAUGCCCUCAGUUCAGCGCAAUGUUGUUGGUGCGACUGUCAGGAUUGCUGGGGGGAGCUCACCCAAAAAGGCCUCCUGCGUAUCUCUGCGGUCGACUUUCAUGAGGAAUUUUGCCAGGAGGAUGAACGUCAGGGGAAACAGAAAC